CAGCACGGCGGCUCUGUGCCCGGAGGACAGCUCUGGCAAACAGGGCAGGACCCUGGAAACCGGCCUCGUUUCCGAUCUGCCGAGGAGACAGCCCAACGCCGGCCAGGAGGAGGUCCCAGGUCCAGGCACAAAGUGGUCUUGGCCCACGUUGCGUGGUAGAAAGGCUGCGUGUGUCUGUGCGGGCAGCUCAAUGGCGCACUCUGCAUCCACUGCUGGAGCCAGCCCAUGCAGACAUGGAGCCGGUACUGCUUGCAAGUCUCCAGAGCAGACUACACAUCUGCCACCACUGGAAGAAGGAAUGGCAACUGGUUCUUUGAGAUGUGGGUGCAGCCGCGUACGCCACGACCUGCCCUCCCUCUUCAUCCCACUCUCCAGGCAAACGGAUGCCAGUGCAAAGGAGCUGACGGGGGACAGGGAGGGGGCAGGAUGGGGUAUGAUGCUCUGCUACACACAGUUCACUGACUUUGGUGCACAUCCCUGUCUGUGGCCACCCCAGUUAUGGUGCAGGUUAGGGACCAGUUUCCAUGUAAGCCCACGGGAGCUAGGAGAGGGAUCAGAGUCCUGUGGUUACUGGGCAUCGGUUUUCCCUGGCCACGUGCAAAACUCUAAGACCCAGCUGAUAGAAAGUGAGGUCAUUUGCGGUAGCUGGAUCUGGGAGUCCCUUCAGCAAAUGACUCCAAACUCGCAGCACAAACUGUACCCCAGGCCCCGGGAGGCACAGCAGUCCUGAGCAUAUGUGCUCCUGAGCAGGGCUUUUAACAGCCAGCUGGAACAGUGGGAGUCCCAGCGCCUCCUCGUCCAGGCUGCCCUUUGUGUGUGUGUUGGGGGGGCUUGCUGUACCACUGACUGAGCUGUGCUGUCACAGGUGAAAUCUGGGGAACCCUGCCUGAGGCAGCCGUGAUGGACUCUUAGCCUAUGGAGCCUUCUCUCACUGGGAAGCAGGAGUGGGCCCUGGUGCCUACUGCUGGUUCCUGGGAGCAGAGAUGACCCCCAAAGCAUCCAUGUAGGGAGGGAACGAAGGGGCAGCAUUGAAGGUAUGAGCACAGAGCAGCACAUUACACUGCCCCAUAGAGCCAUGUUGCAGGGGGACAGCAGUGGCCUGGAUGAGGCACAAUCCUUCAGUGAAUCAGCUUAGUGCUCCAGGGGUUGCUCACUCUGUGUCCUCCCUUGCCUCACUAUCUCCAGAGGAAGGGGCUCUCCCCACAGAAGCCCCUUUCCUUCAGUUCAGUGGCAUUACCAGGUAACAGCUGAACAGGGCUGGGAAGCCAAGGACUGGACCAGUGCUGAUCUGGGGCAGGUAACAGCAACAACUGGCACUGGAGGGGCUUGCAGGAAGGGAGGAGAUAUUGGCCACGGGGCAGGAGUUGUGGGAAGAGCAGACACGCAGGGAAGGGGACAUGAAGGAAGUGUAGUGACCCAGCCCAGAGUACCAGGGGAAUGGGGCAGGGGGCCGGGAGGCAGAGGAGCUGUGGGAAGCCCGAGGGCAGCACUCCUGGGGGAAAGGGAGUAGGGACAAGAGGGAGCUGGAGAGGGCCCCAGUGUGAGCAGCCCGUGGGGAAGGGGGGA